rnacentral:rRNA from 1 species
AUUGAACGCUGGCGGCAUGCUUUACACAUGCAAGUCGAACGGUAACAGGCCGCAAGGUGCUGACGAGUGGCGAACGGGUGAGUAAUGCAUCGGAACGUGCCCAGUCGUGGGGGAUAACUACUCGAAAGAGUAGCUAAUACCGCAUACGAUCUAUGGAUGAAAGCGGGGGACCGUAAGGCCUCGCGCGAUUGGAGCGGCCGAUGUCAGAGUAGGUAGUUGGUGGGGUAAAGGCUCACCAAGCCAACGAUCUGUAGCUGGUCUGAGAGGACGACCAGCCACACUGGGACUGAGACACGGCCCAGACUCCUACGGGAGGCAGCAGUGGGGAAUUUUGGACAAUGGGCGCAAGCCUGAUCCAGCAAUGCCGCGUGCAGGAAGAAGGCCUUCGGGUUGUAAACUGCUUUUGUACGGAACGAAACGGCUCUGGUUAAUACCCGGGGCUAAUGACGGUACCGGAAGAAUAAGCACCGGCUAACUACGUG